ensembl:snRNA U6 U6 spliceosomal RNA
UUCCUACUUUAGAAGGAUAUAUAUUAAAACUGGAGUGGUACAGAGAAUAUUAGCUUGUCCCCUGACCAAAGAUGACAAACGAAUUCAUAACACAUUCCAUUUUUCC